rnacentral:rRNA from 1 species
UACGUAGGGUGCAAGCGUUGUCCGGAAUUAUUGGGCGUAAAGAGCUCGUAGGCGGUUUGUCGCGUCUGCUGUGAAAACUCGGGGCUUAACUCCGGGCCUGCAGUGGGUACGGGCAGACUAGAGUGCGGUAGGGGAGACUGGAAUUCCUGGUGUAGCGGUGAAAUGCGCAGAUAUCGGGAAGAACACCCGUGGCGAAGGCGGUUCUCUGGGACGGUACUGACGCUGAGACGCGAAAGCGUGGGGAGCGAACAGG